rnacentral:rRNA from 1 species
ACGUGGGGAAUUUUGGACAAUGGGCGCAAGCCUGAUCCAGCAAUGCCGCGUGCAGGAUGAAGGCCUUCGGGUUGUAAACUGCUUUUGUACGGAGCGAAACGGCUUCUCCUAAUACGGGGAGCUAAUGACGGUACCGUAAGAAUAAGCACCGGCUAACUACGUGCCAGCAGCCGCGGUAAUACGUAGGGUGCGAGCGUUAAUCGGAAUUACUGGGCGUAAAGCGUGCGCAGGCGGUUAUAUAAGACAGAUGUGAAAUCCCCGGGCUCAACCUGGGACCUGCAUUUGUGACUGUAUAGCUAGAGUACGGUAGAGGGGGAUGGAAUUCCGCGUGUAGCAGUGAAAUGCGUAGAUAUGCGGAGGAACACCGAUGGCGAAGGCAAUCCCCUGGACCUGUACUGACGCUCAUGCACGAAAGCGUGGGGAGCAAACAGGAUUAGAUACCC